GAUUUCUGGUUCGGCGCACUUGGCCCGUCUCGGUUUACGGGAUUGUGUGCCGGUGUGCGCCAUCCAUCCUUCGAUGAGAACAUUGCUGCCCUUUAUUGGGUGUGUAAUGUCUCUCUCGAUCUUUUACUUUGAAAAAAUUAGAGUGUUUAAAGCAGGCUUGCGCUAUGAAUACAUUAGCAUGGAAUAAUAAUUUAGGACUUUAUUCCUAUUUUAUUGGUUUCUAGGAGUAAAGUAAUGAUUGAUAGGGAUAGUUGGGGGUGCUAGUAUUCAUCGGCCAGAGGUGAAAUUCUUGGAUUCGAUGAAGACUAACUAAUGCGAAAGCAUU
rnacentral:rRNA from 1 species